rnacentral:rRNA from 1 species
GACGAACGCUGGCGGCGUGCUUAACACAUGCAAGUCGAACGGAAAGGCCCUGCUUUUGUGGGGUGCUCGAGUGGCGAACGGGUGAGUAACACGUGAGUAACCUGCCCUUGACUUUGGGAUAACUUCGGGAAACUGGGGCUAAUACCGGAUAGGAGCUCCUGCUGCAUGGUGGGGGUUGGAAAGUUUCGGCGGUUGGGGAUGGACUCGCGGCUUAUCAGCUUGUUGGUGGGGUAGUGGCUUACCAAGGCUUUGACGGGUAGCCGGCCUGAGAGGGUGACCGGCAACAUUGGGACUGAGAUACGGCCCAGACUCCUACGGGAGGCAGCAGUGGGGAAUAGUGCACAAUGGGCGGAAGCCUGAUGCAGCAACGCCGCGUGCGGGAUGACGGCCUUCGGGUUGUAAACCGCUUUCGCCUGUGACGAAGCGUGAGUGACGGUAAUGGGUAAAGAAGCACCGGCUAACUACGUG